CUCAGGAUGAACGCUGGCGGCGUGCCUAAUACAUGCAAGUGAAACGGGUAUCUUCGGAUACCAGUCGCGGACGGGUGAGUAAUACAUAGGCAACCUGCCUUUAUGAGGGGGAUAACCGAGGGAAACUUUGGCUAAUACCGCAUGAAGACUCUAAGGCAUCUUAGAGGGAUAAAAGUUGGGAAACAACGCAUGAAGAUGGGCUUAUGGCGCAUUAGCUAGUUGGUGAGAUAGAAGCCCACCAAGGUAAUGAUGCGUAGCCGACCCGAGAGGGUGAACGGCCACAUUGGGACUGAGACACGGCCCAAACUCCUACGGGAGGCAGCAGUAGGGAAUUUUCGGCAAUGGGGGGAACCCUGACCGAGCAACGCCGCGUGAAAAGGAAGAAGGUUUUCGGAUUGUAAACUUCUGUUAUAAGGGAAGAACGGAUUGGAUAGGGAAUGAUCUGAUAGUGACGGUACCUUAUUAGAAAGCCACGGCUAACUACGUGCCAGCCGCAGC
rnacentral:rRNA from 1 species